CCUACGGGAGGCUGCAGUGGGGGAUAUUGCACAAUGGGGGAAACCCUGAUGCAGCGACGCCGCGUGGGCGAAGAAGUAUUUCGGUAUGUAAAGCCCUAUCAGCAGGGAAGAAGAAAUGACGGUACCUGAGUAAGAAGCACCGGCUAAAUACGUGCCAGCAGCCGCGGUAAUACGUAUGGUGCAAGCGUUAUCCGGAUUUACUGGGUGUAAAGGGAGCGCAGGCGGCACGGCAAGCCUGAUGUGAAAGCCCGGGGCCCAACCGCGGGACUGCAUUGGGAACUACCGGGCUGGAGUGCCGGAGAGGUAGGCGGAAUUCCUAGUGUAGCGGUGAAAUGCGUAGAUAUUAGGAGGAACACCAGUGGCGAAGGUGGCCUACUGGACGGUGACUGACGCUGAGGCUCGAAAGCGUGGGGAGCAAACAGGAUUAGAUACCCGGGUAGUC
rnacentral:rRNA from 1 species